rnacentral:rRNA from 1 species
GUCCAUGCCGUAAACGAUGUCUACUAGCCGUUGGGGAUUUGAUCCUUUAGUGGCGCAGCUAACGCGAUAAGUAGACCGCCUGGGGAGUACGGUCGCAAGACUAAAACUCAAAUGAAUUGACGGGGGCCCGCACAAGCGGUGGAGCAUGUGGUUUAAUUCGAUGCAACGCGAAGAACCUUACCUGGCCUUGACAUAGUAGAAACUUUCCAGAGAUGGAUUGGUGCCUUCGGGAAUCUACAUACAGGUGCUGCAUGGCUGUCGU